rnacentral:rRNA from 1 species
AACGAACGCUGGCGGCAUGCCUAACACAUGCAAGUCGAACGAAGGCUUCGGCCUUAGUGGCGCACGGGUGAGUAACGCGUGGGAAACUGCCUAUUGGUGGGGAAUAACGACGGGAAACUGUCGCUAAUACCGCAUAAGCCCUUCGGGGGAAAGAUUUAUCGCCGAUAGAUGUGCCCGCGUCCGAUUAGCUAGUUGGUGAGGUAAUGGCUCACCAAGGCGACGAUCGGUAGCUGGUCUGAGAGGAUGAUCAGCCACACUGGGACUGAGACACGGCCCAGACUCCUACGGGAGGCAGCAGUGGGGAAUAUUGGACAAUGGGCGAAAGCCUGAUCCAGCAAUGCCGCGUGAGUGAUGAAGGCCUUAGGGUUGUAAAGCUCUUUCGGGUGGGACGAUGAUGACGGUACCACCAGAAGAAGCCCCGGCUAACUUCGUGCCAGCAGCAGCCGCGG